AUACGUAGGGGGCGAGCGUUGUCCGGAAUGAUUGGGCGUAAAGGGCGCGUAGGCGGUCAUUUAAGUUAUCUGUGAAAUCCCAGGUUUUAAGCGUGGGCCUGCAGGUAAAACUGGAUGACUUGAGUGCAGGAGAGGAAAGUGGAAUUCCAAGUGUAGCGGUGAAAUGCGUAGAGAUUUGGAGGAACACCAGUGGCGAAGGCGACUUUCUGGACUGUAACUGACGCUGAGGCGCGAAAGUGUGGGGAGCAAACAGGAUUAGAUACCCUGGUAGUCCACACUGUAAACGAUGAAUGCUAGGUGUAAGAGGUAUCGACCCCUUUUGUGCCGGAGUCAACACAAUAAGCAUUCCGCCUGGGGAGUACGGCCGCAAGGUUGAAACUCAAAUGAAUUGGCGGGG
rnacentral:rRNA from 1 species